AUCCGUGAAGAGGCAGAUACACACAAAUAAGAUGAGAAGACCCUAUGGAGCUUAAAUUUAUUAAUGCAAACAAAAACUCAAAAUAAGCCUAGAGGCGAUAAUCUACUAUCCCUGAAUUAAAAAUUUUGGUUGGAGUGACCUCGGAGCAUAAUUUGACCUCCGAACAACCUAAACUAACACCACACCAGCCUAUGCGAACUAACAUAUAUUGACCCAAUAACUUAAUCAACGGAAUAAGUUACCUUAGGGAUAACAGCGCAAUCCUAUUCUAGAGUCUGUAUCAACAACAGGAUUUACAACUUCGAUGUUGGAUGAGGACAUCCUAAUGGUGUAGCCGCUAUUAAGGGUUCAUUUGAUUAAAGUCCUGCAUGAUCUGAGUUCAGACUGGAAUAAUCCAGGUCGGUUUCUAUCUAUUU
rnacentral:ncRNA from 1 species